AUGUCACAAUCUAGUUCAUUGCACACUCUGGCUCAUCACAAAUAGCCACCAAGAAAGCCAAAGUACUGAGCUGCCUAAAAUCAGCUGAAAGGUGAUUUUCUUUUGUCCUUAAAAAUUAGCCAUAUCAAGUCACAUUCCGUAAGUGGGAAAACUCUGAGAAAUUGUACAAUGAUUGUUGUUGGUUGGCUGAUUUUCCUUUUGGCUUUGCAUCUGAUGCAUAGAGUUCCAAACGCUAAGGCUGAACCGGCAAAGAACGAAGGUGAUAAGCAUUAACUGGCAUUGUCCUUUAGAGGAACACAACCCAGGGCAGACUUCCCAUCUUCUUUAAGAGCGACACAGAUGUUCCAGUUCAGAAGUGCUAUUUAAAACACCAGCAAGAAAGGAGUUUCAGGAGCUAAUGCUUACUGCAGUACUGAAGGCAAUGAAGCAUAUUGUUUCUGUUGUUGGUAACACAUAAAUUGAUUGCACAGCAUCAUGUUAUAUGUUUAUGACCAAGUUACCUGGACCUUCAAAUAUGUUACCACGUUCCACGAUGCACAGGGCAAAGUGGAUUUCAAGCUAUAAGAGCAAUUUGAAAUAGAUUAUGCUUCUAUUUAAGGGACAAUCACAUAGAACGUUUCGUAUCCUAUACGAUUUCUGAUGGACUAUGUACUUUUAAAAUUGCCUACUACCUGCAGUAGCAAAAUUCACUUGGUGUUCACUAUUCUGAAAAUAUAAUGGGUGGAAAAAGACAUAAA